GGUCUUGUAGUGAAAUGGAUAUCAUGCUUGUCUUCGAAACAAGCGUUUUAGGUUCGAAUCCUAACAAGACCACCA
rnacentral:tRNA from 1 species